rnacentral:lncRNA from 1 species
UACCACAUCACACGUGAAGAUGCCAAAUAGUAGUAUAACUACUCUCUACUCAACUGAUCAACUCAAUUAUACGUGCAGUUUUGAAUGAAGGUCAAUAUCUCAUUUAAUGGCCAUUGUCUUGAUUCGGUAACAUCCAUCAAAGCCAGCCCUUGUGAUGUAAACUCAACCCAACUAUAUAAUUCUUUUAUUUAUUUAUUUGAACAAAAUUAACUUAAUUUGUUCAUUUGCAGCUCUCC